rnacentral:lncRNA from 1 species
CUCUUUUGCUGAGCAGUCAUGAGUGAUCAUCUAUUUGGAGCUCACAUUUUAACAGAAGCGUAGACGAAGACAGGAAGCCUUCUCCCUUCAACUUGCUCUCAAGAUGCGAAGGAAGCAAUCAGAACCUUGUGUACUGGCCCAUAUGAAACUGCAGCAACCGACGAAUGUGUUGCGACUGGGGAAUAGUCAGACAUCCCUAUUGGGGAUACUUGUGAACAGAGUGAGCAAAGGACACCGACGACAGCUCUGGCAUGCACUUGGCUAUCUCAGUAGAAGAAAAAAUGAAAAGGAUGGAUAGGCUGGCUGGGGCGGAGCUGUCGUCGCUUCAGUCCACUAUAAGGGAAACGUUGAAGCUUCUUCAAAGACUUUGCUCUUCUCGUUCAGUGGUCUUCUCGUUCUUCGCUCGUUGCUCGACGCCAAAAGACCAAGGAAAGCUUCCAAAAUCACGAAGCAUAAGAGAGGAAUCAGUCGCUCUCAAGAAAACGAGAUUCGUCAAUGCGAGACCUGAAGUAAACCAAGCAAUCAUGAG